ACAUCCCGAUGCUAUUCUAGAGAUAGAAAGGUUACUUCGGUACAUCGGUGACAGGUGGUGCAUGGUUGUCGUCAGCUCGUGUCGUGAGAUGUUGGGUUAAGUCCCGCAACGAGCGCAACCCCUAUUGUUAGUUGCCAUCAUUCAGUUGGGCACUCUAGCGAGACUGCCGGUAAUAAACCGGAGGAAGUGGGAUGACGUCAAAUCAUCAUGCCCCUUAUGACCUGGGCUACACACGUGCUACAAUGGUUGGUACAACGAGUUGCGAGUCGGUGACGGCAAGCUAAUCUCUUAAAGCCAAUCUCAGUUCGGAUUGUAGGCUGCAACUCGCCUACAUGAAGUCGGAAUCGCUAGUAAUCGCGGAUCAGCACGCCGCGGUGAAUACGUUCCCGGGCCUU
rnacentral:rRNA from 1 species